CUAGUACUCCCUCCGUUCAGAAUUACUUGUUUUGGAUUUGUCUAGAUACGGAUGUAUCUAGAAACAUCCGUAUCUAGAUAAAUCCAAGACAAGUAAUUCGGAACAGAGAGAGUAGUUG
rfam:Triticum aestivum genome assembly, contig: Triticum_aestivum_CS42_TGACv1_scaffold_019302_1AS